rnacentral:rRNA from 1 species
UAAGGAAUAUUGGUCAAUGGACGCAAGUCUGAACCAGCCAUGCCGCGUGGAGGAUUAAGGCCCUCUGGGUUGUAAACUCCUUUUAUCUGGGAAGAAAUGUACUUUUUCUUGAGUACUUGACGGUACCAGAGGAAUAAGCACCGGCUAACUCCGCGCCAGCAGCCGCGGUAAUACGGAGGGUGCAAGCGUUAUCCGGAUUCACUGGGUUUAAAGGGUGCGUAGGUGGGCAGGUAAGUCAGUGGUGAAAUCUCCGGGCUUAACCCGGAAACUGCCGUUGAUACUAUUUGUCUUGAAUAUUGUGGAGGUAAGCGGAAUAUGUCAUGUAGCGGUGAAAUGCUUAGAUAUGACAUAGAACACCAAUUGCGAAGGCAGCUUACUACACAAUCAUUGACGCUGAGGCACGAAAGCGUGGGGAUCAAACA